rnacentral:lncRNA from 1 species
GCACUGGAGUGAAAAUACAGAAGUUGGUGCCCUUUGCAGCAGCCAGGAGUCCGACUCCUCCUCUUCCUGUGUGGAACCUGGAAUUCAAACGGCUGGGGCCUCACUCACGGCAUAUGGAACUAACCACGCCCCUAACUAAGAAGGCACACCUUAGUUGCAGUUAGCACACAAUUAAAGCAACUCUCCAAGUUUUACCUUAAAGUUCAAAAUUGCUAGGAGUUGAAACUACUAGAAAUAUAUUUACAUGCAAGAGUCAAAGAAACUUUGAACUAUUUAUGGCCUUUAAUAAUUAAGUAAGGUAUACUCCUGUGAUCAAGACUUGGAGCAUAUUUGUUUCUCUCUGCCUGGUUCCUCUAGAAAUUGGAAACUAUCAGAACAGAGACCAACUCCGUUUCCCGAUCCCUUUGCAAUCUGCAUUGAACCAUGAGUCAAGUUCUUGAUAAAGGAGUGAAAAUGGAUGACAUUUAAGGCACAUCUGAAGAUGGGGAAACCACAGCACAGAAUAAGGCUGGGCCCUUGAAUCAAUAAAUGAAGGAGAACUACUCAAGAGAACAAAACCACCAGCAAUAUCCACCUGUAUUUGUCUUUUCAUAAUGUGUGACACAUGUGCUCAUGGAUUAUUGUCCGAAGCAAGACAUGUGACCAAGCCUAACAUCAACUGGGUGAAGAGCUAUAUGUUCCUUUCUCAAGAGGCACUACAAGUGACAUGCCACUGGGCAGAUGGAGUCUCGCUCUGUCACCCAGGCUAGAGUGCAGUACCGCAAUCUCGGCUCGCUGCAAGCUCUGACUCCCAGGUUCACACCAUUCUCCUGCCUCAGCCUCCCAAGUAGCUGGCACUACAGGCGCCCACCACCAUGCCUGGCUAAUUUUUUAUAUUUUUAGUAGAGAAGGGGUUUCGCCGUGUUAGCCAGAAUGGUCUUGAUCUCCUGACCUCAUGAUCUGCCCACCUCGGCCUCCCAAAGUGCUGGGAUUACAGGCGUGAGCCACCGCGACUGGCCUAACAUAUUUUUAAAACCUGCAGAAUGUUUGUAUUACUUUUGUCAUAGUACAUAACAUUUAAAUGGAUUUCUUGUUUGUGUAUGUGUGUAUAUUCAUUCACAACACUGAUAGUUUUUCUGAAUAUUUCCUUUGGAUUUUAUUCUUUUCUCAUUCAACUAAAUAAGAACCUGCACCAUCUUUUUCUAGUGUAAAAAUUACAAUAUCUGAAGUGAAACUACUAGAAUAAAU